rnacentral:rRNA from 1 species
GAGUUUGAUCGUGGCUCAGGACGAACGCUGGCGGCGUGCUUAAUACAUGCAAGUCAACGAGAAACAGGGUGCUUGCAUCCUGUGGACAGUGGCGCACGGGUGCGUAACACGUAGGUAAUCUGCCCUUAGGACUGACAUAACUCCGGGAAACCGAAGCUAAUAUCAGAUAAUGCAGCGGCUCGGCAUCGAGACAGUUGUUAAAUCUUCGGAGCCUAAGGAUGAACCUGCGUCCCAUUAGGUAGUUGGUGAGGUAAAUGCUCACCAAGCCUGCGAUGGGUAGCUGGUCUGAGAGGAUGAUCAGCCACACUGGAACUGAGACACGGUCCAGACUCCUACGGGAGCAGCAGUAAGGAAUAUUGCUCAAUGGGAGAAAUCCUGAAGCAGCAACGCCGCGUGGAGGAUGAAGGCAUAUUUGUUGUAAACUCCUGUAAGAAGGGAAAAUGGGUCUGUUUAC